CCAGUAAAAGACCUCAGCGUAUUCCAGCUCUGGUUGUCAGUAGGUUCAAAGUGUCAAUUGAUGAUAUUCCCACAUUGAUGGAAUGGCAGAAACAGCAUAUUUGUAAUUGGCACUUAUUUUAAUGUGGUGGCAUUUGCCGCAGCCGGGCGUGAAUGAAUAGACACCAGUAGUGAUCCUGGCAAGGUGAGUAUAAAUAGCACGCAGAGAUUUGGCACGCAGGGAAGCAGCCGCAUGCCUUCCACUGCGCCCGGGCCAGCUGUCGGAGUCUCUCUUCCUCAAACACUCGCCAUGUUGACAGCGAAUACUGGAGGGGAUCAAAACACACACGCUCACCACACAUAAAGACGGUCCUGAAGUCCUCGUACACAGAGCGAGACGGCUCUGCUGAUUGGUUGACCAUGUGUGUGAGUUACGAGCUCUUACACCUCAGUCACUCCGGCCCACUGCCCCCCUCAGCACACCCACCACCCACACACAGCAGCUUCCAAACACUCCGGAUGGACUGUGUGGAUGCCCCCUGUGACAUUUGGAUACUUGCUGUCCUGAGCUGUAUGCAACAUUCCUGACACGGGAUUGCCCACACACGGCUCUCAACAUGGCUGAGCUGGCUAGCAGCUAACAGCGCCAACACUGCCAACAAUGGCAACAGUGCUAACUGUGUUAACAUGGGGGGGCACCUCCAAGACAACACCAUCUUACCACCAUGGGUCAUGACAAUAUUUUGAGCGUUAACUGCUGUACACAUCUCAUGAAUGCAAACAUUUAAUGGGUGCUACAAAUAUAUUUUGAAUUAACACAAAUUUUACACCAUAAUCCUGAUGAAGAGAGAGCUGAGCUGGAAGGCAACACUUUCAAUUUACUGGCCCAUAAGUGUCCCAACCCUCACCUAUGGUCAUGAGCUCUGGGUAGUGAUCGAAAGAACAAGGUCGUGGACACAAGCAGCCAAGUUGGGUUUCUGCAGAAGGGUGUCUGGGCGCAAGGACAUGGGACAUCCGGAGGGAGCUUGGAGUAGUGCUGCUGCUCCUUAUCAUUGAAAGGGGUCAAUUGAGGUGGUUCGGGCCAACACAUUUUCACUCUGACCUCGUCAAAUAUCAACGUUUGGUCAUGGACUUUCCACGUCCACAUACGUCGUCCAAGGUACCUUGGGUGUGUUGGUUGUUGAUGUUCUCGGACGCCGUGUCAACUUCUGCCUGUAACAUGCAUCAUCUUCUUUCAAAAUACACUUCUGUUUUCAGAGGAAAUUAAACAUUUACAUACAGUCUCUUUCAAAAUAAAAGCACUACGUCAGUACAA